rnacentral:rRNA from 1 species
UACGAAGGGGGCUAGCGUUGCUCGGAAUGACUGGGCGUAAAGGGCGCGUAGGCGGAUGGCAUAGUCAGAUGUGAAAUUCCCGGGCUUAACCUGGGGACUGCAUUUGAUACGUGUCGUCUGAGUUCGGAAGAGGGUCGUGGAAUUCCCAGUGUAGAGGUGAAAUUCGUAGAUAUUGGGAAGAAACACCGGUGGCGAAGGCGGCGACCUGGUCCGAUACUGACGCUGAGGCGCGAAAGCGUGGGGAGCAAACAGG